GAUGAACGCUGGCGGCGUGCCUAAUACAUGCAAGUCGAGCGAAGAGACGAGGAGCUUGCUGCUCUGACGUUAGCGGCGGACGGGUGAGUAACAAGUGGAUAACCAACCUAUAAGACCGGGAGAACUACGGGAAACAGGAGUUAAUACCGCGUAAUAUACUGAACCGCAUGGUUCAAUAGUGAAAGACGGUUUUGCUGUCAGUUGUAGAUGGGCCCGCGCCGCAUUAGCUUGUUGGUGAGGUAAUGGCUUACCAAGGCAACGAUGCGUAGCCGACCUGAGAGGGGGAUCGGCCGCCCUAGAACGGCUGCGAGGUCGAGACGCCUCCGACAGGCGGCAGUAGGGAAUCAUCCGGAAUGGGCGGAGGCCGGCCGAAGCAACGCCGCGUGGUGAAUGAUGGUCUUCUGAUCGUUGAGCUCUGUUAUUAGCGGAGAACAAAUGUGUAAGUGUCUGUGCACGUCUUGACGGUACCUGAUCAGAAAGCGACGGCUAACUACGUG
rnacentral:rRNA from 1 species